rnacentral:rRNA from 1 species
AAUUGGAGGGCAAGUCUGGUGCCAGCAGCCGCGGUAAUUCCAGCUCCAAUAGCGUAUAUUAAAGUUGUUGCAGUUAAAAAGCUCGUAGUUGAACUUCGGGGUUUACCCAUUGGUCAGGCUUAAUUGUCUGUACUGGUGAGAUAAAUCUCUACCUUCUGAGGAACUUUCAUGCCAUUUAUUUGGUGUGAUUGGAAAUCAGGACUAUUACUUUGAAAAAAUUAGAGUGUUUAAAGCAGGCUAAAGUCUGAAUACAUUAGCAUGGAAUAAUGAAAUAGGACGGAUUGAUUCUAUUUCGUUGGUUUCUAGGAUCACCGUAAUGAUUAAUAGGGAUAGUUGGGGGCAUUAGUAUUCAAUUGUCAGAGGUGAAAUUCUUGGAUUUAUUGAAGACUAACUACUGCGAAAGCAUUUGCCAAGGAUGUUUUCAUUAAUCAAGAACGAAAGUUAGGGGAUCGAAGACGAUCAGAUACCGUCGUAGUCUUAACCAUAAACUGUGCCGACUAGGGAUCGGACGAAGUUAAUUUUUUAAUGACUCGUUUGGCACCUUACGGGAAACCAAAGUGU